CGGCGGACGGGUUAGUAACGCGUGGGAAUAUACCCAGAUCUAAGGAAUAGCCUCGGGAAACUGAGAGUAAUACCUUAUACGCCCUUCGGGGGAAAGAUUUAUCGGAUUUGGAUUAGCCCGCGUUAGAUUAGAUAGUUGGUGGGGUAAUGGCCUACCAAGUCUACGAUCUAUAGCUGGUUUGAGAGGAUGAUCAGCAACACUGGGACUGAGACACGGCCCAGACUCCUACGGGAGGCAGCAGUGGGGAAUCUUAGACAAUGGGCGCAAGCCUGAUCUAGCCAUGCCGCGUGAGUGAUGAAGGCCUUAGGGUCGUAAAGCUCUUUCGCCAGAGAUGAUAAUGACAGUAUCUGGUAAAGAAACCCCGGCUAACUCCGUGCCAGCAGCCGCGGUAAUACGGAGGGGGUUAGCGUUGUUCGGAAUUACUGGGCGUAAAGCGUACGUAGGCGGAUUAGUCAGUUAGGGGUGAAAUCCCAGGGCUCAACCCUGGAACUGCCCUUAAUACUGCUAGUCUUGAGUUCGAGAGAGGUGAGUGGAAUUCCGAGUGUAGAGGUGAAAUUCGUAGAUAUUCGGAGGAACACCAGUGGCGAAGGCGGCUCACUGGCUCGAUACUGACGCUGAGGUACGAAAGUGUGGGGAGCAAACAGGAUUAG
rnacentral:rRNA from 1 species